rnacentral:lncRNA from 1 species
AAUAUAGUCUACAAACCCCAUUUAUACUACAAGACUCAUAACUACUAUUAUAACUACUUUAUUUAACUAAUUAACUGACUCUAACAUUCUCAUUCAUACUCCUCCUCAAGGUGAAGGGAGCUUGCAAACUAAACCUUGCACACUAAACAACAUUCUUCUUGUACGAUUGCUCUUGAUAAGCUUUUAAAUUCCUCAAAUUUUUCCAGCUUUUCUGCUCCAACUUGGAUUGCCACAUGAUAUGUAAAUGACCUAAACCAGGGGAGAAAAACCUAGAUGGGAUCCAUAUUUUUGCUCCUCUUAUUCUUUUACUUGACUAGGAAAACCCUUCCUUUAGAUCAUCUACAUUCAAUCUAAGCCUUGGAUUGUUGCAGCCAACACAUCCAAUAUCCAAGUUACUUGUUUCUUGCACUUUAUUACCUGCAUACAAACAAAUACAACAUACAUGCAUCCUGCAUAAACACAACACACAUUCUGCAAACAUAC